rnacentral:rRNA from 1 species
UACGGAGGGGGCUAGCGUUGUUCGGAAUUACUGGGCGUAAAGCGCACGUAGGCGGCUUUGUAAGUUAGAGGUGAAAGCCCGGGGCUCAACCCCGGAACUGCCUUUAAGACUGCAUCGCUUGAAUCCAGGAGAGGUGAGUGGAAUUCCGAGUGUAGAGGUGAAAUUCGUAGAUAUUCGGAAGAACACCAGUGGCGAAGGCGGCUCACUGGUCCGGUACUGACGCUGAGGUGCGAAAGCGUGGGGAGCAAACAGG